GGGUAGGGGAGCGUUCUGUAAGCCUGCGAAGGUGUGCUGUGAGGCAUGCUGGAGGUAUCAGAAGUGCGAAUGCUGACAUAAGUAACGAUAAAGCGGGUGAAAAGCCCGCUCGCCGGAAGACCAAGGGUUCCUGUCCAACGUUAAUCGGGGCAGGGUGAGUCGACCCCUAAGGCGAGGCCGAAAGGCGUAGUCGAUGGGAAACAGGUUAAUAUUCCUGUACUUGGUGUUACUGCGAAGGGGGGACGGAGAAGGCUAUGUUGGCCGGGCGACGGUUGUCCCGGUUUAAGCGUGUAGGCUGGUUUUCCAGGCAAAUCCGGAAAAUCAAGGCUGAGGCGUGAUGACGAGGCACUACGGUGCUGAAGCAACAAAUGCCCUGCUUCCAGGAAAAGCCUCUAAGCAUCAGGUAACAUCAAAUCGUACCCCAAACCGACACAGGUGGUCAGGUAGAGAAUACCAAGGCGCUUGAGAGAACUCGGGUGAAGGAACUAGGCAAAAUGGUGCCGUAACUUCGGGAGAAGGCACGCUGAUAUGUAGGUGAAGCGACUUGCUCGUGGAGCUGAAAUCAGUCGAAGAUACCAGCUGGCUGCAACUGUUUAUUAAAAACACAGCAC
rnacentral:rRNA from 1 species